GAUUGAGUUUGAUCCUGGCUCAGAGCGAACGCUGGCGGCAGGCCUAACACAUGCAAGUCGAACGAACUCUUCGGAGUUAGUGGCGGACGGGUGAGUAACACGUGGGAACGUGCCUUUUGGUUCGGAAUAACUCAGGGAAACUUGUGCUAAUACCGAAUGUGCCCUUCGGGGGAAAGAUUUAUCGCCAUUAGAGCGGCCCGCGUCUGAUUAGCUAGUUGGUGAGGUAACGGCUUACCAAGGCGACGAUCAGUAGCUGGUCUGAGAGGAUGACCAGCCACACUGGGACUGAGACACGGCCCAGACUCCUACGGGAGGCAGCAGUGGGGAAUCUUGCGCAAUGGGCGAAAGCCUGACGCAGCCAUGCCGCGUGAAUGAUGAAGGUCUUAGGAUUGUAAAAUUCUUUCACCGGGGGCGAUAAUGACGGUACCCGGAGAAGAAGCCCCGGCUAACUUCG
rnacentral:rRNA from 1 species